rnacentral:rRNA from 1 species
CCUACGGGGGGCAGCAGUGGGGAAUAUUGCGCAAUGGGCGAAAGCCUGACGCAGCGACGCCGCGUGAGGGAUGAAGGUCUUCGGAUCGUAAACUUCUGUCAGCAGGGAAGAACGGUCACUGUGUUAAUCAGCAGUAAAUUGACGGUACCUGCAAAGGAAGCACCGGCUAACUCCGUGCCAGCAGCCGCGGUAAUACGUAGGGUGCGAGCGUUAUUCGGAUUUACUGGGCGUAAAGCGCUCGUUGGCGGUAUGUCAAGUCAAGGGUGAAAUCCCCGCGCUCAACCUUGGAACUGCUUUUGAAACUGGCAAACUUGAGUGUGUGAGAGGAUAGUGGAAUUCCAGGUGUAGGAGUGAAAUGCGUAGAUAUAUGGAGGAACAUCAGUGGCGAAGGCGACUAUCUGGCACAUAACUGACGCUGAGGAGCGAAAGCGUGGGUAGCAAACAGGAUUAGAUACCCCGGUAGUC